GGGCCWRGUUUUAAYGCGAAAGAACCUUACCAUCCUUUGACAUGGCGUGUUACCCAGAGAGAUUUGGGGUCCCCUUCGGGGGCGCGCACACAGGUGCUGCAUGGCUGUCGUCAGCUCGUGUCGUGAGAUGUUGGGUUAAGUCCCGCAACGAGCGCAACCCACGUCCUUAGUUGCCAUCAUUCAGUUGGGCACUCUAGGGAGACUGCCGGUGAUAAGCCGCGAGGAAGGUGUGGAUGACGUCAAGUCCUCAUGGCCCUUACGGGAUGGGCUACACACGUGCUACAAUGGCGGUGACAGUGGGACGCGAAGGAGCGAUCUGGAG
rnacentral:rRNA from 1 species